GCGGCAGGCCUAAUACAUGCAAGUCGAACGGCAGCGGGUCCAGCAAUGGAUGCCGGCGAGUGGCGCACGGGUGCGUAACGCGUAUACAAUCUACCUUCGACUGGGGAAUAGCCCCGAGAAAUCGGGAUUAAUACCCCAUAAUAUUGAGAGGGGGCAUCUCUUUUCAAUUAAAGCUCCGGCGGUCUUAGAUGAGUAUGCGUGACAUUAGCUAGUUGGCGAGGUAAUGGCUCACCAAGGCGACGAUGUCUAGGGGUUCUGAGAGGAUUUUCCCCCACACUGGUACUGAGACACGGACCAGACUCCUACGGGAGGCAGCAGUAGGGAAUAUUGGGCAAUGGGCGCAAGCCUGACCCAGCCAUGCCGCGUGAAGGAUGACGGCCCUAUGGGUUGUAAACUUCUUUUGUACGGGAAAAAAUCCCCGGUCGUGUACCGGGGUUGAUGGUACCGUAAGAAUGAGGAUCGGCUAACUCCGUGCCAGCAGCCGCGGUAAUACGGAGGAUGCAAGCGUUAUCCGGAUUCAUUGGGUUUAAAGGGUGCGCAGGCGGAAUGAUAAGUCAGUGGUGAAAUCCUACGGCUCAACUGUAGAACUGCCAUUGAUACUGUCGUUCUUGAGUACACUUGAAGUGGGCGGAAUGUGUCAUGUAGCGGUGAAAUGCUUAGAUAUGACACAGAACACCGAUCGCUAAGGUAGCUCACUAGAUUGUAACUGACGCUCAUGCACCAAAGCGUGGGGACCAGACGGGAUUAUAUACUCUGUUAGGUCGCGCUCUUAAUGAGGAG
rnacentral:rRNA from 1 species